AUUCUGUAGGUAUGUUACUAGUCAGUAAUGGUUUAGAUUUCUGUUGUUUUGUUUCUAGGCACCAAGACCACUGUUUACUAAAUCAGUUUAGCAGGAAAUUUUACAGAAGUCACAUGCAGCAAUUUGUAUUUUUCUAGACAAAAGUAUCUGCGAACGGCCACGAGUUAUCGGACGCUGUAGGGCCAGGUUUAUUCGCUAUUUUUACAACAAGAAGCUUCGCAGAUGUCAGUCAUUUGUGUAUGGUGGUUGUGGGAGUAAUGGGAACAACUUUGGCACAAUGAAAAAAUGCAGAGCGAAAUGCCAAGGUUGAAAAGGAAAGUGAUUAAACAGUUGUGACAACUGACAAGGUGACCAGAAAACAGGGAAAAUCAAGGAAGCUCCUGCUGCCCCAGAGUGUACGAUAAUUAAAAUACAAUCAAAGAAAGCGGUUUUAUAAACAUCCAAAGAUCAAAAAUUAAAUGUUUGUUAUUCUUAGCAAGAAGAUCCAGGUCUUGAGUUCCGACACUUGCUUAAAAAUCUAGACUGAGAUCAAUUUUGUCCCCAAAUUUUUUGACCAUGACAAGAGGCAAUACAAUUGACAUCGAAGCCUCCCAAAGUAUUCUUAGCGUAGAGAUCUCUUCAGUUGCAUUUAUAUGGGUGUCACUAAUUUCACUUAAGAGAAGGUUUUAUAAAGGACAUGAAAUUAAAGGCAAUUCUUGAACUAUAUGGCUUGUGGAGGAUUUGUUGAGCCAAAUGAUAAUUUCUCAUUCCACUCUUUUAUAUUAUUCCAUUGACAGCUGCAAAUGUAAAACUGGGAUAUAUUUCAAAUGGGGGAGUUUAAAAUGUGGAGUUUAUUAGCUAAGAUUUUUCUGCAAGAUGCGUGUACUAUUUUCUUCCUUAAAUGAAUUUUUAUUUCUUAUCUUCUCUGCAGUGGUUUAUUUCAGUUCAUACAACUGUAAAACUCCUUAAUUAUUUAUUCAUCUCAUAAUUAGCUCUUAAAUUCAAUAACACCAGCAAUUUAACUCUGUUACUGUAUUUGAAUGGUGCUAACCUCUACUCUGGGCCAUUUGUGACUGCCAGUGCCACAACUCAGACAUAGAGGUUCAGCACCAUUUGUGAGCAGAGUUAUAUAAG